AAGAAAAUGGGGUGCUUUCGUAAAUUCUCCCUGGCUAUCUUCUUGUCUGAGUGUACCAGAGCGCAGAAUAAUGCAUUUUCGAGCGCUCAACACCCGUUGAAUUUGGCCGGUUUAACGUCGGCAAAAAGGCAUAAAAGUUUUGCCAGCAGCACAGUUAGUCACCAACGCUCUGGAUAACAAACUGCCUAACCAAUUCUGCUAGGACAGGGUUUCACAGCUCUCUGUAUCUGAGGACAGAAAACAUCACAAAGAAACGGGGUUCAUUAUACUCAAAUCAGAGAGUACGGAAUAUUACGUUGCUAUAUGUCUUUUUUGUUGUUGCUAAGGACUGGAACUGAAGAAUCUUUUCAAAAUGUCCUCCCACAAAGGUACAUGCCCUAUCCAGAGUAACCUACUCCCCUUCUCUGACAAUUUUAGCUAAUAAUAAAUGUUUAUCAUUUUCAAAAUAUAUUUACUUACUUGAAUAGCUUCUCCAACUGCAUCUGUUUUCUGGGUCCUUAAUAAUGGGCAAUCUUCCCGAUGUUUCUGGUGGUAGAAAAACGCAGCCAGCCAUAUGGAGAUUGGAGGACUUCCACUUGGUGUGGUUGCUAGGUGAUUUGUGAUGCAACUGCAACCCCUUUAUUGGUAUAUUAACUCAUUUACCGCCUAGUGAUGACACAGGCAGGCAAAAACUCCAUCUGACCAAAGCAGGCUGAAAUUUCAGAUGGUCUUUUCAAACAGCUCUUACACUAAAAGGGCUUUUAAGUCAGUAUUAGUCCAACCUCAGCGUGGAAAUUUGUGACUUGUUUCGGGAAACUAGGCGUAUGUUGCACGUCACUACUUCACAGGAGACAUUUUUUGAUCAAAAUGCUUUUUUUGUCAGAAACGCCUUCUGGAACAUUCACGUGCCUUACAAAUGUGUAUGCCAUCUGUAAACACAUAAGUUUUAAAUUACGAGCGUAGUUGGUUUAGCCAUGGAAAAAGUCAGGAACCUUCCCACUAGCCAUGAUUGGCUGAGAUUAUGGAUGGGCUGGACAUUCUGAGAGAUGAGAUCAGAUCAGAUUGGUCUGCCAUGUAGCAUCUGUCUAUAACAUGAGCUGCACAGUAUGUGUAGGUAAUCCUUCCUAACAAGGAUUUUUUUGAAAGAUCGCUAACCCAGCUAGCAUGGACACUGACAGUUGUGAAUCUGAUGCAGCCAAAGAGCUAAUGCCCCCUUACUCGGGAAAGCACCAAACAGACAGGGACGUUGGACCCUCGAAGAGGCACAAAUAUGAUGAACUACAUUGAUUUGGGGUUCACUUAUAUUGGGAGUAGUGCCUUUCCUCAGCCACAGUGUGUUAUACAGUGCCUUGCGAAAGUAUUCGGUCCCCUUGAACUUUGCGACCUUUUGCCACAUUUCAGGCUUCAAACAUAAAGAUAUAAAACUGUAUUUUUUUGUGAAGAAUCAACAACAAGUGGGACACAAUCAUUAAGUGGAACGACAUUUAUUGGAUAUUUCAAACUUUUUUAACACAUCAAAAACUGAAAAAUUGGGCGUGCAAAAUUAUUCAGCCCCCUUAAGUUAAUACUUUGUAGCGCCACCUUUUGCUGCGAUUACAGCUGUAAGUCGCUUGGGGUAUGUCUCUAUCAGUUUUGCACAUCGAGAGACUGAACAUUUUUCCCAUUCCUCCUUGUAAAACAGCUCGAGCUCAGUGAGGUUGGAUGGAGAGCAUUUGUGAACAGCAGUUUUCAGUUCUUUCCACAGAUUCUCGAUUGGAUUCAGGUCUGAAGACAUCCUCUUCUGGAAACCCGGACAACAAGAGAGGAUAUUUUUAAAGUGCUGGACAGCUUUGUGACGUCAAAUGGACGUUGGUGGUCAAGAUGUGUUGGUAUCUGUACUGAUGGCGCAAAAACCAUGACACGGAGACAUAGUGAAAAUGGUUAACUUCGUUAAAGCAAGGCCCCUGAACUCUCAUGUAUUUUCAGAAUUAUGCAAUGAUAAUGGGCAGUGACCAUGUAACACUUUUACAACAUACAGACAUGCGCUGGUUAUCAAGGGGCAAAGUAUUGACACAUUUUUUAAAAUUGAGGGACAAGCUUAAAAACGUUUCUUUACUGACCAUUUUCACUUGUCUGACUGCUUGUAUGAUGAAUUUCUCACACGACGGGCCUAUCUGGAUUAUGUUUUAUCUUGCCUGAAUGAUUUGAAUCUAUUACAGGGACUCUCCACAACUAUAUUCAAUGUGCAGGAUAAAAUUGAGGCUAUGGUUAAGAAGUUGGAGCUCUUCUCUGUCUGUUAACAAGGACAACACACAGGUCUUUCCAUCAUUGUAUGAUUUUUUUUUGUGUGCAAAUUAACUCAAGCUUACGGACAAUGUCAAAUGUUAUUUAGCAAAUCGUCUGAGUUAGCGCAAUUACGCAGGUACUUUCCCGAAAUGGACGACACAAACAACGGGAUUCGUUAUCCCUUUCAUGCCCUGUGGUGCGUGGAUAUGUAUUCACCCCCUUUGCUAUGAAGCCCCUAAAUAAGAUCUGGUACAGGAAUUGGAAUUGAAGCGCCCAUACACUAAGCAGUAUACUUAAGCUUUUCAUAUUUCAUUCUAUUACCUAUACUACCUAUUUCCAUGAUAAUUUUCAUUAUGUUUUGUAGAUAUUUUGAUUAGCGUCUUCAAAUGUUGAUUGUAUAAAGGAAUUGUGUGGUCUUCAGAUGAAUCCAUAUUAUUCCUAGUAUUUUCAUUGUCGUCUUAUAAAUGUAUUGUUAAAAUAAGUCAGGUCGCCUUAAAAUACAAUUUCUGUCCCAUAACAGACUGGUGCCCCAAUUCACAGUAAUAAUUGUACACACUCCCUUACACAUGCUUCUCCUUCUAAUUAAUUAAAUAGAGGAUGGGUCAUUACCUGGUUCAUGACUGCAGUAAUGGGGUAAAGACAUCAGUGCUACCAUGUGGUUAUGACUUCGGUGGUUAGAACAUACCAUAGUAUCUGUUUGGACACAUCACCGAGUAGUCAAGCAUUGUGUGUCUGCUAGGUAACUCUGCACUCUUCUUAGAAAAGAAUGGGCAUCUCUCCACUUCUCACAGGAAACAAAGAAGAUGUACCGAUGUAUACAUUAAGACCCUCACAAACUUUCACAGAUGCACAAUUGAGAGCAUCCUGUCGGGCUGUAUCACCGCCUGGUACGGCAACUGCACCGCCCGCUUCCGCAGGGCUCUCCAGAGGUUGGUGCGGUCUGCCCAACACUUCACCGGGGGCACACUGCCUGCCCUCCAGGACACCUUCAGCACCCGAUGUCACAGGAAGGCCAAAAAGAUCAAGGACAUCAACCACCCGAGCCACAGCCUGUUCACCCCACAAUCAUCCAGUUGGCGAGGUUAAAACUGGUGCAUCAAAGCUGGGACCGAGAGACUGAAAAACAGCUUCUAUCUCAAGGCCAUCAGACUGUUAAAUAGUCAUCAUUAGCCGGCUACCACCCAGUAACUCAACCCUGUACCUUAGAGGCUGCUGCCCUAUAUGCACAGACAUGGAACACAAGUCACUUUAAUAAUGUUUACAUACUGCUUUACUCAUUUCAUACGUAUAUACUGUAUUUUAGUCAAUGCCACUCUGACAUUGCUCAUCCUAAUAUUUAUAUAUUUCUUAAUUCCAAUCUUUUACUUUUAGAUGUGUGUAUUGUUAGAUAUUACUGCACUGUUGGAGCUAGGAACACAAGCAUUUCGCUACACUCGCAAUAACAUCUGCUAAAUGUGUAUGUGACCAAUAACAUUUGAUUUGAUUUGAAGCCCUACAUCAGGGAUCACCAACUAGAUUCAACCGCAGGUCAAUGUCUUCUUGAGCGGAUGGUCGGGGGGCGGAACAUAAUCACCAAUCAUUUAUAGACGGCAAAUUGAUCAAGAAGACUAAACAGAUAUACACUGAGUACACAAAACAUUAAGAAUACCUACUCUUUCCAUGACAUAGACUGACCAGGUGAAAGCUAUGAUCCCAUAUUGAUGUCACUUGUUAAAUCCACUUCAAUCAGUGUAGAUGAAGGGGAGGAGACAGGUUAAAUAAGGAUUUUAAGCCUUGAGACAAUUCAGACAUGGAUUGUGUAUGUGUGCCAUGCAGAGGGUGAAUGGGAAAGACAAAAGAUUUAAGUGCCUUUGAACGGGGUAUGGUAGUAAGGCUGCUGGGUUUUUCAUCCUCAACAGUUACCCAUAUGUAUCAAGAUUGGUUCACCACCCAAAGGACAUCCAGCCAACUUGACAACUGUGGGAAGCAUUGGGGUCAACAUGGGCCAGCAUCCCUGUAGAACGCUUUUGACACCUUGUAGAGUAAAUGCCCGACAAUUUUAAGGUUUUCUGAGAACAAAAGGGGGUGGUGCAACUCAAUAUUCGGAAAAUGUUCUUAAUGUUGGUAUACUCAGUGUAUUUUAGACUAAAACAAUCAUUUCAAACCUACCAUUUGUACAUGAUAACAUCUCUCUAUUAUGCGUGGGAAUACUUGGGAACAGAUUUACAAAAUUAAAAAUCACUUGGAGGUGAUUUCCUGGUUAUCAUCUUUUAUGUCCCACAAUGAAAAAAGACUAAAAAAUAAAACAUGUUUUUUGUUUUUGCUCAGAAAACUUUGAGGGCCAAAUAAAACCAAUCGCUGCCAGUUGGGGAACCCUGACAUAUAUUAAGACCUAGAAGCCAUGGGUCCAUUACAACAAAAGAGUUGAACGUCGCACAUAACACUGUGUUAACCAAUGAUAUGUAUAAACCCUGGAACGCUGAUACUAUCUAUUGUCCAAUGAGAGGCUUUGAAGCCACCAGUGGGCCAUAUUGGCACUCCCCAGAAGAAGCAGUCAUCCAUGUAUCUCACAUAAUAUAAUUUCAAAGUAUGAAUAUAAAUAGCACACAUAGAACAGAUAUACAGCUUCUCAGACUUUCUUUAACUCACAUUUCUACGUGAAUUUGCCCAGGUUGCCCCAAAAGCUACCUACUGCGACUUUAAUGGACUGCAUGAAACAAAUAAAAUAAGGAGUGGUAAUGAGGUGACCAAAAAUGGUUGCAAUUGAGAUUAGUUGUGCCGGUAAAUUCAUCACGAGAUCAGCUGCCGAUAUCUGGUCACCAUCGAUGGUUGUAAUAGGCCCCCAUAUGUUUCCAUAUUGGCCACAUAUGUUUCCAAAGGCUGCGUUUACACAGGCAGACCAAUUCUGAUCUUUUUUCACUAAUUGGUCUUCUGUUCCAAUUAGAUCAGCCCUGAAAAAGAUCUGAUGUGAUUGGUCAAAAGACCAAUUGGUGGAAAAAAAUAUUUGUAUUGGGCUGCCAGUGUAAACGCAGCCAUGCUGAUCAUAUAACUGAUGCUUUUCUACUGAGAAUAUAAAUGUUAUGUAAGUGGAAAGUAUAAAAGGCUGGUUGAGACUCAUGUAUGUUGACAUUGUAUGCUACGUGUAUGCCAUUAAUUAAAGCCUUGAUUUGGAUUCAA